rnacentral:rRNA from 1 species
GAUGAACGCUGGCGGCGUGCCUAAUACAUGCAAGUCGAGCGAAUGGAUUAAGAGCUUGCUCUUAUGAAGUUAGCGGCGGACGGGUGAGUAACACGUGGGUAACCUGCCCAUAAGACUGGGAUAACUCCGGGAAACCGGGGCUAAUACCGGAUAAUAUUUUGAACUGCAUGGUUCAAAAUUGAAAGGCGGCUUCGGCUGUCACUUAUGGAUGGACCCGCGUCGCAUUAGCUAGUUGGUGAGGUAACGGCUCACCAAGGCAACGAUGCGUAGCCGACCUGGGAGGGUGAUCGGACACACUGGGACUGAGAUACGGCCCAGACUCCUACGGGAGGCAGCAGUAGGGAAUCUUCCGCAAUGGACGAAAGUCUGACGGGGCAACGCCGCGUGAGUGAUGAAGGCUUUCGGGUCGUAAAACUCUGUUGUUAGGGAAGAACAAGUGCUAGUUGAAUAAGCUGGCACCUUGACGGUACCUAACCAGAAAGCCACGGCUAACUACGUGCCAGCCGCCGCGGUAA